GACCACGUGACUUCUUGGCCCAAAACUGGCAAAAGCGUGCAAAUCGACGCCUGCACAAAUCGUGUGAUGGUCAUAUGUCAAGUCGUGUAAAGAAAUGUGGAACCGUUUUUCGAAAUGAAGGAAGUCUUGUACAGUUGGAGAAAGUUUCGGUUCGUCUUGUUGGAGCUUGCCUUCGUUUGGGACCAGCAAGAAUGGAGCUGUUACGUUCAUUUUUGACGGAGAUACGUAUGCGGAUGGAAGGGAAAGCGCCGCCAUAGUCACAGUAUGGAAAGCAGCGAGAAGUAUCCUGCGCUAAAUGAUGCUGAUGUACAAAUUGAAUUGCUCUUGGCUGUUUCGGUCCAUGCCUCGAUUCUUGUCUCCAAUGCUGUUAUGCUCGAUCUGGUUGAGCUCCGCAAGAAUAGCUGAAAGAGUGCCGAACUGGGAGAUGUGCUGUAUACUCUUGUUGCUACUUGCUGUAUCUCUGCUGAUGAUGAUGUGCGUGCUACGAUUACCCCAGCCAAUGUCCUGUACAUGUACAUGUACAUGUUGAGCUUAGUCAGUGCCUCUUCCGUGGUCAUUCUUUUUCUUGACACCAACCACACCAACAGUCCGAAGCUAUCUCAGGACUGUAUUAUCAAUGUCUCCUGUUACUACCCACUACAUUGUAAACCAUACUAUUCCGCUAUUUCAUGCGGAGAAUCAA